GACGAACGCUGGCGGCGUGCUUAACACAUGCAAGUCGAACGAGUGGCGAACGGGUGAGUAAUACGUGAGUAACCUGCCCUCUUUUUGGGAUAAGCCUUGGAAACGGGGUCUAAUACCGGAUAAGGGGGGAUGGGCUCGCGGCCUUUCGGCUUGUUGGUGGGGUGAUGGCCUACCAAGGGGGUGACGGGUAGCCGGCCUGAGAGGGUGACCGGAGACAUAGGGACGGAGCAACGGCCCAGACGCGUACGGGGGGGAGAAGGGGGGGAGAUGGGAGAAUGGGUGAAGGCGUGAUGCAGCGUGGACGAGUGGGGGAUGAAGGCUUUAGGGUUGUAAACCUGUGUCGGAAGGGAACGGGUAGGUGUAGAAGAAGCGCCGGCUAACUACGUGCCAGCAGCCGCGGUAAUUC
rnacentral:rRNA from 1 species